rnacentral:rRNA from 1 species
UACAGAGGGUGCUAGCGUUGUUCGGAAUCAUUGGGCGUAAAGGGCGUGUAGGCGGUUUGUUAAGUCAUGUGUGAAAUCCCUCGGCUCAACCGGGGAACGACGCAUGAAACUGGCAAGCUAGAGUACCAAAGAGGGGGGUGGAAUUCCCGGUGUAGAGGUGAAAUUCGUAGAUAUUGGGAAGAACACCGGUGGCGAAGGCGGCCAUCUGGACCGGCACUGACGCUGAGGCGCGAAAGCGUGGGGAGCAAACAGG